UCGGUUCGUUCCUCUCGCCCAAGCUCGCUCCAAAUCUCCGAUGCGACGGUCGUCGCGGCGUCCAGCUCCCGGGGCGGCGAAGCUGACGCGAGGUCGACGAGGGGAGGCGCGCGAGGAGGUCCGCGAGGAGGCGGCUGGAGACAUGGACGGCGACAAUCUGCAGGACAGAAUAUGUUGACACUGGUAAACAAGAUAAAUGAGUCUGUUGCCGCUCCUCACGCCACCCACCGGCCACCACCUCAUCAUGAUGCCAGGUGAGGACAUCGACCAAGUGCAUCGGCGGAGCCAGACGAGACAGCUCAGUGUGUUGGGGUUUAGCAAGGUGCGGACAUUAACUAAUUAAAAAAAGAUUGUAAUAAACUCUGAUCCUACUGUCGAAACUACUUUCAUUGAAAGAGAUAUAUCGUGGGGCGAAACAUUAAACUGGAA